rnacentral:rRNA from 1 species
UACGUAGGGGGCAAGCGUUGUCCGGAAUGAUUGGGCGUAAAGGGCGCGUAGGCGGCCUGUUAAGUCUGGAGUGAAAGUCCUGCUUUCAAGGUGGGAAUUGCUUUGGAAACUGGCGGGCUGGAGUGCAGGAGAGGUUAGCGGAAUUCCCGGUGUAGCGGUGAAAUGCGUAGAGAUCGGGAGGAACACCAGUGGCGAAGGCGGCUAACUGGACUGUAACUGACGCUGAAGCGCGAAAGUGUGGGGAGCAAAC